rnacentral:lncRNA from 1 species
GAUUAUUGUUGUGUCGUCUGCGUAUUGAAGAAUGGAUACUGAGUUGUGUGAGGAUGUGAGCAUAUUUGUGUAGAGGAAGAACAACCAGGGCGAUAGGACGAACCCCUGGGGUGCACCGGUGCUGAUGGUCGGGGGUUGGGUUAAGAGGCCACUCAUCCUAACCCUCUGUGUCCUUUCUGACAGGAAGCUCCUAAUCCAGUGGCACAGGGAGAUGUCAAUAUCCAUGUGUAGCAGAGCGAGGUUCUUAACCUUAGCUUUAGGACACACAGGCAAGAGUCCUCCAACAAGUCCCCGCCAACCGCUGGACAGACCCAGAUCACGGACACAUGAAGACAAGACAAGACAGCGAUGGGCAGCGCUGGUGCUACUGCUGUAGAGCCGGAAGCUCCUAAUCCAGUGGCACAGGGAGAUGUCAAUAUCCAUGUGUAUCAGAGCGAGGUUCUUAACCUUAGCUUUAGGACACACAGGUAAGUUCCAUUGAUGAAGGGCACAAGUGUUCC